UUGACCUCGGAUCAGGUAGGGAUACCCGCUGAACUUAAGCAUAUCAAUAAGCGGAGGAAAAGAAACCAACCGGGAUUGCCCCAGUAACGGCGAGUGAAGCGGCAAGAGCUCAAAUUUGAAAGCUGGCCCCCUCGGGGUCCGCGUUGUAAUUUGCAGAGGAUGCUUCGGGAGCGGCCCCCGUCUAAGUGCCCUGGAACGGGCCGUCAUAGAGGGUG
rnacentral:rRNA from 1 species